CAACAAACAGUUUUGGACAUUUUAUUUUUUUCCCAAAAAACAAUAUUUCUUUUAAAAUGUUUUAUUUGGGUUUUAAAUAUUUAUGGCCCCAAAAUAGCUCCACAGUCUUCCACCAGAGGGCGACAUGGUGAAGUGGGCGGGGCUCUCCUCCUGCUCUGUGUUCAACAUUCAGUCAAUAAGAAGUGGUGCUGUGAAGAGAACAAUUGUCAGAGUGAAUGUUGAACAUCAGCUAGUUUCUCCUGUUGAUUGAAACCUUGUUGUACAGAUGGAGCAUUGGCUGUGGAUUCUUCUUGCUGCUCUUUUCUUUGAGUGUAAAGGAGAAGACAAAGUGAUCCAACCAGGAGGAGAAGUCAUUGCUGCUGAAGGAGACUCUGUCACACUCAACUGUACCUUUGAGACCAAUGAUAGAGUCCCAACAUUGUUCUGGUACAAACAAGAAGUGAACAGUUACCCAAAGUACAUGUUGAAACGUUACUCAAAAACGAAAGAAAAUACUUCAGAGUUCAAGAAAGACAGAUUUGACGCUGAACUCAAAGACAAAUCAGUUCCUCUGACGAUCCAUAAUCUUCAUGUGUCAGACUCUGCUGUGUACUACUGUGCUCUGCAGCCCACAGUGACAGGAAACAACAAAACUAUGUACAAAAACCUGCAAGGACAAAUGCAGUACUCCUAAAC